CACCAUCUGUUGUUGUAGGGACGGAGCCUGCGCGUCCACGGAGUGGUGCUGGGCAAGGCUGGAAACGCAAAGCCUCCGCAGGUAAGAAGCUCUUGUGAGCUGUGCUGUGGGCAAGUGCCUCUAAACAGGGCAGCAUGGAUGGCAGAGUGUGCGAUGGAGUGGAGAGGAAAGGGCACUGCAGAUCCGUGCUGACUGCAGAGUUGGCAUAAUGUUGUAACAGCUGAAAGGCAAGCUGAAGAAACUGCUCUUGAAGACCAGAAGUUUGUGGUUGGCUGUGCUCAAAUCUUCCGCCACAGAGAUGCUCUUCAUGUCUUUCUUGUCUCCUUUCUGCCAGAAGCUGAUGCGAGCGGCCUUCCAGCAAAGCGCAGCCUUGCAGAAAGGCAAGGCAGAAGCGCCCAGUGUGGCACAGCACCCAAGAGAGGUACAGACACACAGCAGGCACCUGGGCUUGGUGCACUGUCUCUCUAGUGAAACUUUCUGUCCGUCCUUUCCUGGGACUGUGGACGUUGUGUGUUGGUUCUGGUCUUAAUCCCUGCAUUUACAUUUAGUAUUCCUGUGCUGCUUAGAAAUGUGACCCCACAGUUCAGCCGAGAUCCUAUGAUCCAUGACCGUGAGCACUCGAGAUGAGAUGUCCCAGGAUUGUGACCCGUUUUGCUGACUGAAAGUACUGUUGGGCUCUCAUUAAAUCUCCUUGUUUUUCCUUUCUUAACAGAGAUUGGUGCUGAGCCAAAUGGCAAAAUCUAUGUCAAAGUGGU
rnacentral:lncRNA from 1 species